GACGAACGCUGGCGGCGUGCUUAACACAUGCAAGUCGAACGAUGAAGCCCAGCUUGCUGGGUGGAUUAGUGGCGAACGGGUGAGUAACACGUGGGCAACCUGCCCCAAACUCUGGGAUAACUCCUCGAAAGAGGUGCUAAUACCGGAUACGAACUAGACAGACAUCUGUACUAGUUGGAAAGUUUUUCGGUUUGGGAUGGGCCCGCGGCCUAUCAGCUUGUUGGUGAGGUAACGGCUCACCAAGGCUACGACGGGUAACCGGCCUGAGAGGGCGACCGGUCACACUGGGACUGAGACACGGACCAGACUCCGACGGGAGGCAGCAGUGGGGAAUAUUGCGCAAUGGGCGAAAGCCUGACGCAGCGACGCCGCGUGAGGGAUGAAGGUCUUCGGAUCGUAAACCUCUUUCAGUAGGGACGAAGCGAAAGUGACGGUACCUAAAGAAGAAGCACCGGCUAACUACGUGCCAGCAGCCGCAGUAA
rnacentral:rRNA from 1 species